UCGGGAAUUUUGGGCAAUGGGCGAAAGCCUGACCCAGCAACGCCGCGUGAGGGAUGAAGUAUUUCGGUAUGUAAACCUCGAAAGAAUGGGAAGAAUAAAUGACGGUACAAUUUAUAAGCUCCGGCUAACUACGUGCCAGCAGCCGCGGUAAUACGUAGGGAGCAAGCGUUGUUCGGAUUUACUGGGCGUAAAGGGCGCGUAGGCGGCGCGGUAAGUCACUUGUGAAAUCUCUGAGCUUAACUCAGAACGGCCAAGUGAUACUGCUGUGCUAGAGUGCGGAAGAGGCAACCGGAAUUCUUGGUGUAGCGGUGAAAUGCGUAGAUAUCAAGAGGAACACCUGAGGCGAAGGCGGGUUGCUGGGCCGACACUGACGCUGAUGCGCGAAAGCCAGGGGAGCAAACG
rnacentral:rRNA from 1 species